rnacentral:rRNA from 1 species
CAGCAGCCGCGGGAAUACGUAGGGUCCGAGCGUUGUCCGGAAUUAUUGGGCGUAAAGAGCUCGUAGGCGGUCUGUCGCGUCUGCCGUGAAAUCCUCAGGCUCAACCUGAGGCGUGCGGUGGGUACGGGCAGGCUAGAGUGCGGUAGGGGAGAAUGGAACUCCUGGUGUAGCGGUGGAAUGCGCAGAUAUCAGGAAGAACACCGAUGGCGAAGGCAGUUCUCUGGGCCGUAACUGACGCUGAGGAGCGAAAGCGUGGGGAGCGAACAGGAUUAGAUACCCGAGUAGUCCCUGUCUCUUAUAC